rnacentral:rRNA from 1 species
CCUACGGGAGGCAGCAGUGGGGAAUAUUGCACAAUGGGGGAAACCCUGAUGCAGCGACGCCGCGUGAGUGAAGAAGUAAUUCGUUACGUAAAGCUCUAUCAGCAGGGAAGAAACACUGACCUUACGGUCAGCAGACGGUACCUGAGUAAGAAGCACCGGCGAACUACGUGCCAGCAGCCGCGGUAAUACGUAGGGGGCAAGCGUUAUCCGGAUUUACUGGGUGUAAAGGGAGCGUAGGCGGUGCGCCAAGUCUGGAGUGAAAUGCCGAAGCUUAACUGCGGAACUGCUUUUGAAACUGGCGAACUAGAGGGCGGGAGGGGUAAGCGGGAUUCCUAGUGUAGCGGUGGAAUGCGGAGAUAAUAGGAGGAACAC